rnacentral:rRNA from 1 species
AUUCUGGCUCAGAAUGAACGCUGGCGGCGUGCAUAACACAUGCAAGUCGAACGAGAAACUCCGGGCUUGCUCGGAGGAGUAAAGUGGCGCACGGGUGAGUAACGCGUGGGUAACCUACCCCUGAAUUUGGAAUAACCCGCCGAAAGGCGGACUAAUACCGGAUAUUGUCUCGGGGACGCAUGUUCCUGAGAUGAAAGGUGACCUCUUCACGAAAGUUGUCGUUCAGGGAGGGGCUCGCGUACCAUUAGCUAGUUGGUAGGGUAAUGGCCUACCAAGGCAGCGAUGGUUAGCUGGUCUGAGAGGAUGAUCAGCCACACUGGAACUGGAACACGGUCCAGACUCCUACGGGAGGCAGCAGUGAGGAAUUUUGCGCAAUAGGGGAAACCCUGACGCAGCAACGCCGCGUGAGUGAAUGAAGGCCUUCGGGUCGUAAAGCUCUGUCAAGUGGGAAAAAAGUCAACCGGUGAAUAGCCGGUUGACCUGAUGGUACCACUAGAGGAAGCACCGGCUAACUCCGUGCCAGCCGCUGC